rnacentral:lncRNA from 1 species
UUGAAAAUGUCAAGGCAAAGAUCCAGGACAAGGAGGGCAUCCCCCCUGACCAGCAGAGGCUGAUCUUUGCAGGCAAGACCAUCACCCUGGAGGUCGAGCCCAGUGACACCAUUGAAAAUGUCAAGGCAAAGAUCCAGGACAAGGAGGGCAUCCCCCCUGACCAGCAGAGGCUGAUCUUUGCAGGCAAGCAGCUGGAAGAUGGCCGCACCCUGUCAGACUACAACAUCCAGAAGGAGUCCACCCUGCACCUGGUCCUGCGCCUCAGAGGGGGCAUGCAGAUCUUUGUGAAGACCCUGACAGGCAAGACCAUCACUCUGGAUGUCGAGCCCAGUGUUAACACCAAGAAGGUCAAACAGGAAGAUACUCGUACCUUUCUCACCACAGUAUCUAGAAAGAGCCCUUCUUGUGCUUGUUCUUGGGUUUGAUGGGGAGGUGUCUUAGUUUUCCCUAUCUUUUAAGCUGUUAACAAGUUUCAUUGCACUUUGAAUAAAGUUCUUGCAUUCCC